UAUGUAUAUCAUGAGAAGGAUUUAUUUCCUCUCCAACCUGCCAACUCCGGCAAGGUGGAAAAAAGAUAUGGCGUUCGGCAAAUAAAGGAGGAAAG
ncrna:unclassified sequences SAM-I/IV variant riboswitch